AGUGCUGUUUUACAUACGGGUUAGACACGGCUAGAGGCCAAGGUCAAGUUGAAAGUUGCAGUCUAGCCAAUGUGAGAACUGUCAUUCACAGCCCGAAGAUCCGUCUGAUUUGUUAAAAAGCGGGUAGCCAUGAGAACACUAAUCUCCCCAGUUCGUCUCU
rfam:Charadrius vociferus contig43550, whole genome shotgun sequence.